UUGCAAUGAUGACGAUCUUAGGACACCUUUGGAAUUCUCCAUGAAAACAACUUUAUUAAUCUGAGCAAC